CCCUUCACAGCAUCAGGUUUUUUUUAUUAAAAUAAUUUUAUUGAGUUUUUCAUUUUUAUCAUAAUAAUAUACCAGAUAACAAAAAGGGGAUGAGUGCCAAGAAGGCGGCAGCAGCAGGAAAGCCGCCACUUCGGAAAGGGGCCAAGCCGGCAGCUCCAGCAAAGGGGGGCCCUGGGAAGGCAGAUGCUGCCCUACCAAGCAACAGCACCAGACCCCAAGAAGUGUCCCUGAGCAGCCAUCCCAAAGAGCUGACGCGUGAAGCAAAGGCCGCUCUCACGUUGCAGAGUGCCUUCCGCCGCAUCUUGGCAUGUCGUGAGAGAGCGAGGCGAUUGCAAGAGCGACAGGAGUACAAUGAGUUAAUGGACCGCCUCCAGAGAGAGGCCUUUGCUGCGCUGGUGAAGAGGGAGCGAGAGGAAGCUGAGCGGGAGAGAAAGAAAGAGGAGGAAGAGAAGAAGAAGCAGCGGGAGGAGCAGCAGAGGAGGAAGCGGAUGUUGGAAGCGGCCUUUGAUGGGGACGUGGAAGAGAUGAAGGCCGUCCUGAAGGAGAUUUGGUUUCUCAAGGUGGCAGACCUGGACACCAAGAGCGGCCUGGGGACAGACGAGAGGGGCAAGGCUCUGCGCCUCCAACAUCGCCUCAACAUGGUGGACUGCACUGACGCCAACGGCAACACACCCCUCUCUGAGGCUUCUGGAGGGGGCCACCCUGACGCCAUCCGGAUGCUGAUAGAGAACGGAGCCAACCCCAACAGCCGGCCCCCUUUAUUUUUAAGGGCGCUUUUAACCGGACUCCUUUGUAUCGUGCUGCCUUUGGGGGCCACCUGGCAGCAGUGGAGCUGCUUCUCCAGCACGGGGCUGACCCUCGACUCUAUGCUGAUGACGGCAACACCCCAGAGCAGGUACCAACCCCAGCCGCCUCCCCCAGCAGCUGCUCUUCUCCUUGGCCUUGAGCUCCAGGUAGGCUGUUUCCACCAGGCCACCUGGCAAGAGAGCGAAGUAACUGAAAGAGAAGGGGAGCUGGUGUCCCUGAAGAAGCCAUGGAGAGAGGGGAGAGCAAGGAUUGCUUCCCUGGACAGCUUGGUGGCUGUGCUGAACUCCUGGGACAUCAGCCUGACAGAGUCCAUGCUCCAGAAGAUGGAGGCAGAAGAGCAGCGAAGGGCGCAGCAGGACAAGAAGCAGAAAGAAGCAGAGACCCGACGGAUGACAGAGGAGGUAGAGCAGCUGGCCAAGGAGCACGAGAGAUGCAGCAAGGAGCUGCAGCAGGCCUACUGUGAGCUGAACCGGAGGAUCACAGAGCACGACAAGUGCCAGCGGAAGCAGAUGGAUAACGCGGAGAUCACCCUCCGUGCUAUUGCGGACGCAGAAUCCCUGGUGCAGAGGCUUCGCGCGGCUGCCGAAGAUGCUGAGGAAAAGGUCUCCCUGGCCCGGCUGAAGCUGCGGGAGCAGAUGCAGGAAGGGUCAGCAGAAGAGUUCCGUGGCCUGAAGUGCUCUGUGCAGGAGCUGGAUGAUGUGCUCUUGAAAGACGUGGGUGGGAAAAUCCAUGCAGAUGGACGGUGGCCACUGGUCAUUGACCCUUCUGGGCAGGCAGCCAUCUUCCUGCGCUAUCGGGACACCAACUUUCUGAACACGGUGAACCCCAGCGACAUGGCUGAGGAGACCAUUCGCCUGGCAUUGCUGGGCUCUCUGCGAUAUGGGAAGCCCCUUGUCUUUGACAUGAUGGAGGUGAACAUGUUUGACACAGUGAAGAAGCAGCUGGAACGGCUUAAACCAGGCUUGGCAGAGGCACUGCUGGACAAGAAGAUCCUACAGAAUGAGAGGUAUCUCUCCCUACGGAAGCCAACAGAUGGGCCUGAAUAUGCAGAGACAGAGUUUCAAGCAGCUCGAAUAGAAAAAUUCAAACUCUUCAUUGUAACUAAACAGCAGCAUCCUCCCGAAGAGAUGCUGCAGCGGCUCCUUCCGAUCCAGGUCAUCCUGUCCCGGUAGGCAAUGCACUGCAGGCGGCCUCAUCCAGUGCUGGACAUUAAAGGAAAACCUGAGCAGCGGAAAGCGAGGCUUUCGGAGAGCCCCCUUCUCACACCAGCGUCCCUUUGCCCUGUGAAAAGUACAUCCCAAAGCCUUGGGGCCAGUCCUCACCUCAGCCAUGAAGCCUUUUCUUAGCACAACUCAUUCCCCUUGACUCUUGCAAGCAGGCAGGCAGGCAGGCUUGAAUGCAAAUAAAGGUUUCCUUGAAAA